CAAUAGCGUAUAUUUAAGUUGUUGCAGUUAAAAAGCUCGUAGUUGGAUUUCGGGUGGGACGCAGCGGUCUCGCAUUGCGUUUGUACUGCUGCAGCCCUCCUUCUUGCCGGGGGCGGCCUCUCGGACUUCACUGUCUGGGGGUCAGAAUCGGCGAUGUUACUUUGAGUAAAUUAGAGUGUUCAAAGCAAGCUUACGCUCUGAAUAUAAUAGCAUGGGAUAACACGACAGGACUCUGGCCUAUCGUGUUGGUCUAUAGGACCAGAGUAAUGAUUAAGAGGAACAGUCGGGGGCAUUCGUAUUCCAUUGUCAGAGGUGAAAUUCUUAGAUUUAUGGAAGACGAACAUCUGCGAAAGCAUUUGCCAAGGAUGUUUNCAUUGA
rnacentral:rRNA from 1 species